CUGGGUGUGGCGCAGUUGGUAGCGCGCCAGAAUGGGGUUCUGGAGGUCGCUGGUUCAAAUCCAGUCACUCAGA
rnacentral:tRNA from 2 species